rnacentral:rRNA from 1 species
AGACCCUAUGAAGCUUUACUGUAACUUGAAAUUGAAAUUGAACUUUAUUUGCGCAGUAUAGGUGGGAAGCGUUGAAUAUAUUCUUGCGGGGAUAUACGAGCUAUCAGUGAGAUACCACUCUUGUAAUGUUGAAUUUCUAACUUUGAAUCAUUAUCUGGUCAAAAGACAGUUUCAGGCGGGCAGUUUGACUGGGGCGGUCGCCUCCCAAAUAGUAACGGAGGCGCGCGAUGGUAGGCUCAGACCGGU